CAGGAUUUAUAGUGAUGGAGAAUUGUUUGUUUCUUAUGUGCAAGUUUAGAGGCCUGUGUUGAUGCUUGAUGGAACUUUCUUGAAAGGAAGACACAAAGGUUGUUUAUUGGCUGCUACGGCAAAAGAUGGUAACCAAGGUUUAUAUCCGUUAUGUUUUGCUAUUGUUGAUAGUAAAAGUUAUGACAGUUGGCAUUGGUUCUUGUCAAAGUUAUUAGGUAUUUUGACU